rnacentral:rRNA from 1 species
ACGGAAGGCAGCAGUGGGGAAUAUUGGGCAAUGGGCGAAAGCCUGACCCAGCGACGCCGCGUGAGGGAAGAAGGUCUUCGGAUUGUAAACCUUAGUCAACAGGGAAGAAGAAAGUGACGGUACCUGAUGAAUAAGCCACGGCUAACUACGUGCCAGCAGCCGCGGUAAUACGUAGGUGGCGAGCGUUAUCCGGAUUUACUGGGUGUAAAGGGCGCGUAGGCGGGGAUGCAAGUCAGAUGUGAAAUCCAUGGGCUUAACUCAUGAACUGCAUUUGAAACUGUAUCUCUUGAGUGUCGGAGAGGUAGAUGGAAUUCCUAGUGUAGUGGUGAAAUGCGUAGAUAUUAGGAGGAACACCAGUGGCGAAGGCGAUCUACUGGACGAUAACUGACGCUGAGGCGCGAAAGCGUGGGGAGCAAACAGGAUUAGAUACCCUGGUA